UGUGGGAGCUGGCUUGCCAGCGAUGCAGGCAACUCGGUCCGUCGUCGAAUCAGGUUGAUGCCAUCGCUGGCAAGCCAGCUCCCACA
rnacentral:misc_RNA from 1 species